rnacentral:rRNA from 1 species
AGUGAACGCUGGCGGUAUGCCUAACACAUGCAAGUCGAACGGCAGCACAGUAAGAGCUUGCUCUUACGGGUGGCGAGUGGCGGACGGGUGAGGAAUACAUCGGAAUCUACUUUUUCGUGGGGGAUAACGUAGGGAAACUUACGCUAAUACCGCAUACGACCUACGGGUGAAAGCAGGGGAUCUUCGGACCUUGCGCGUUUGAAUGAGCCGAUGUCGGAUUAGCUAGUUGGCGGGGUAAAGGCCCACCAAGGCGACGAUCCGUAGCUGGUCUGAGAGGAUGAUCAGCCACACUGGAACUGAGACACGGUCCAGACUCCUACGGGAGGCAGCAGUGGGGAAUAUUGGACAAUGGGCGCAAGCCUGAUCCAGCCAUACCGCGUGGGUGAAGAAGGCCUUCGGGUUGUAAAGCCCUUUUGUUGGGAAAGAAAAGCAGCAGGUUAAUACCCCGCUGUUCUGACGGUACCCAAAGAAUAAGCACCGGCUAACUUCGUG